ACGCCACUGAGAAAAUUCGUCAGCCUCGCAUUUGACGUUUCAUUUUCGUUUAUGUUUCUUCAUUGCAUUCGAUUUUGGUACCAAGCCGCCGCCCAUUCAAUAGAGGCGUAAUUUUCACCAUAGUUUUAUUAGAGAUCGUACAAGAUGCCUAACAUAUCCAGCAUAACGCAUUAUCCUCUCAAGAUCAUCUUCGCUGUGCAUUUGUUCUUCGUUACUUGGGGACUUCAAGGCAAUUGGUACCCAGGAUCGUUGAUGUUUUACAAUCUGUUAUUCUUUCUCUGCCUUCUGUGGGCAAUACACAAUUUGGAAUCAGAUGAACCGAUACAAUUUGCACUGUUCAUUAAUGUAUUGUCGAUAUUCUUCGACGUAAUUGCUCUCUCGACGUGCUUUCCAGACAAUGGAUGGGGCAAAUUUUAUGCAGCCAUGAUGAUCCUCAAUUUGAUUAUACGAGUCGUGUCUAGCUAUUCGCUACUUCAGAUUGGUCGAGCCAGAGGAGGCCCUCUGUCUACUAUGUUUGCACCUAGUCCAGCCUUGGGUAAGUAGUCCACACCUGACGUUUCUGUUUCAGCUUAGAAAUUUAUACAGUAAAAUUAACUGUUUUGGAAGGCAGGAGUACGAAGAUAUGUCGCAGCCGGUACCCAACAAUGCUGAUUUUGCAUGAUAAAAUUGAAAGGGAAAAUAUGUAUUUGAAUAUGUGAAACAUGCUGCGACCAAGAUUUUGUACAAAUUGAAUGCAACGUUAUACUGAUGCAUGUAUAUUUGACGAAAGCACCUUCGAUUGUUUGUACUAUUUGAAUAUAAUCAAUCGAAUGUCUCAUACCAAAUACCAUUUAUAUAAAGUCAAAUAUUUGUCUAUAAAAUUUAUUAUAGAAUAUAUAUGUAUAUGAUAUGAUGUCUAUGGUAUAUGCACGUGAUAGACUGUAAAAGACUACAUCUGUAUAUAGAGGAAGAUUUUGUAUUUUAGUAACGAGUAAUUUCAA